rnacentral:rRNA from 1 species
GACAGAGGGUGCAAACGUUGCUCGGAAUUACUGGGCGUAAAGCGCGUGUAGGUGGCUCCGCGAGUCCGAUGUGAAAGCCCAGGGCUCAACCCUGGAAGUGCAUUGGAUACUACGGAGCUGGAGGCCUGGAGAGGUAAGCGGAAUUCCCGGUGUAGAGGUGAAAUUCGUAGAUAGUCGGGAGGAACACCACGGUGGGACGCAAGGCGGGCUUGACUGGACAGGUCCUGAC